rnacentral:tRNA from 1 species
GGUUUAAUAGUCAAUAAUGAUUUUAAAUUGCAAAUUUAAAGGUAAGUCCUUCUUUUAAGCCU